rnacentral:rRNA from 1 species
GACGAACUGUGCGAACGUUGUUCGGAAUCACUGGGCGUAAAGGGCGCGUAGGCGGGGAGGUAAGUCGGGUGUUAAAUCCCUCGGCCCAACCGAGGAACUGCGCCCGAGACUGCUUCUCUUGAGUCCCGGAGAGGAAGAUGGAAUUCCCGGUGUAGCGGUGAAAUGUGUAGAGAUCGGGAGGAACACCGGUGGCGAAGGCGGUCUUCUGGACGGUGACUGACGCUGAGGCGCGAAAGCGUGGGGAGCAAACGGG